AACGAACGCUGGCGGCGUGGAUAAGACAUGCAAGUCGAACGAGAUUUUCUUUGGUAGCAAUACCGAAGAACGUCUAGUGGCGAACGGGUGCGUAACACGUGGGCAAUCUGCCUUAAAGUGGGGGAUAGCUCGGCGAAAGCCGGAUUAAUACCGCAUGUGAUGAGGGAAGACAUCUUUCCAAAAUCAAAGGUGGCGCAAGCUACCGCUUUUGAGGAGCCCGCGGCCUAUCAGCUAGUUGGUGAGGUAACGGCUCACCAAGGCUUUGACGGGUAGCUGGUCUGAGAGGACGACCAGUCACACUGGAACUGAGACACGGUCCAGACACCUACGGGUGGCAGCAGUCGAGAAUUUUUCUCAAUGGGGGAAACCCUGAAGGAGCGACGCCGCGUGGAGGAUGAAGGUCUUCGGGUUGUAAACUCCUGUCAUUUGGGAACAAUGCUUUCCAGUUAACUGUUGGAAAGUUGAUAGUACCAGAAGAGGAAGAGACGGCUAACUCUGUGCCAGCAGCCGCCGUAAGAC
rnacentral:rRNA from 1 species